GGCGUGGUGGCGCGCGGUGCGCGUCUGCAUUUCGUAUCCCAGAAGAGUGAUAUGGUUAGCAGAAGGUGCUCGUUCGACUCGGGCCUACGCCU